UCAUUUCUUGUUGAUUGGCAUAAACAACUCUGGCACAGGUACCUCUUUCUCUUGGCAGAUGGACUCAUGACACCUCUCCUCCUGUCUUUGUCUCCAUAUUUUUUUUGUCCAUGCUCUGAAUCUGUGUUAUAAGCAGGAAAAUGAUGGUGAUCCACUUGAAAUUAAUGAAAACAAAGAGUUUAUAGUUGUAGUGUACUGAAUAAAGAGGCGACGUCCUCAGUGGUACUCAGCCAAGUUGUGCUGUACAAGUAAUUCAAACCAGCUUUUACCCAGCUAAGGAGUCUUGCCUGUUCAGUCAGUUCUCACUGUGUAAAGGCUGAAAGCACUGGCAGCAGCUUUUGAGCAGUUUAGACAGUAACUUCCUGCCCUUCCCCCUGUGAUGACCUUAGCACAGGCUUGAGCUACAUUCUACCAUGACUAAUGACACUGCAGACAUAUUAACCUUGACCCUUAACUAAAUGUGGGCUCCUUCGGCAGUGAAGGUGAAUCUGGAACACUCAGAGGCCGGAUUCCAGUCGCCAUGGCACUGCCAGUUUAGAAAGCACAAUGGGAUCAGAAGUGAGACCGCUGUCGUUCCACUAACAGUCAUCUCCUUGAACUAACCGAGUGAGGUGCAGCCUGCAGCUCUCCUCCUCUGCAGCUGGCUCUGCAGAGAGCCCAGGGUCAGGUUACAUCUUCAGCGCCUAUUUUAGGAGUCCUCUUGGAACCAGUCUUACUAGUGGAUCAAUCUGCUGCUGCGUCUGGUUUUGAAGAGACAGCGCGUGUGGCAGAGCAAAAAAAAUUGAGGAUGAAAGAUGCUCCACUUUGCUAUCUCCUGGUAACAUCCACAGCAGAUGACCAAUCAACACUACUAAAUGGCCAACAAAGUUUAAAGGAACCAACUGAGAAGCAACAACAGUAUUGCCUAGAAGGGAUGAGAAUGUCAGAAACUCCUCUACAGACCCAAGAAAUGCAAAUAUGUGGGACAGAGACAGAAAGAGAGAGAAAGAAGGAAAAAGAGUCAAUAAACUUGUCUGAUGUAAGAAGAAAAUUUUCAAUAUCAAUUAAAUAAACAGUUUAUAAUUUGUCCUUUUCUCUAAUGGAGAAUUUAUACCCAUGGAAGUAUCCUAGUAUAAUAAUUUUAUGAGAAAUGACUACAGAUUCACCCUUGAAAGACAAACAGGACUUUCACCUGGACAUAGAAAGCAAGCACAGAUUUCCACGUAAUCUUCAAAGAAGGUUUGACAUACAUACAACAAGACUUUACAGUUCUCCAACCCCCUCCUUUCCUUGGAACAUUUUAUACAGCUGAUGAUUUAUUUUAGUUGACAACUUCUAAUGGUAACUUUAACAAAACCAGCACUCUUUGAUUGCUGGCCUUGGUUGUAUCAUAGUGAAUCAGAAGUAAACGCAUCAGGCUCUGUGAGCUUCUCCCAACCACACACAGAUAAAACAAAAGUCAGAAUCUGGGGCCCAGGUUCCAGAUUGAGUUGGAAAAGACAUAGUUAACUACUUUCAACUCCAUAAAAGAAAAGCUCAAUAUACUAACAAGAUAGUCGCUUUGAACUGUCUCCAGACACUGAACCAUGAAUAUUUUAGUACUGCAAACUAAAUGGAAUAGAUUGUCUUACGACCUUUAUGAGAAAUUGCCCUUUACAUUUUUUUUUCAAACCAGUGAUUCAUAUUGCCAUGUCAUUUUUCUCCUGCAGAAACACAGAACAGGGGCACUGCUUUCACUGUGAACCUUUUUUUUUUUUUUCCUGUUUCUGGCAAGUAUCCUAGGUUUUGUAAUUUAAUAUUCCUGCCAAAAGCACUGGAAACAUUUGAGAUGAUCCUCAAGGGAUUAAGGACAAACUGUGGAUUACAUUCUUGGCAUUGGACUGAACUAGAAGCUUGCAUUUUUCUUGCUGUUACUGAAAAUUUGUAAACUAACCAAAUAAGGAUACAGCAGAAUUAAGAAUAACUCGAUGCUGUUUUACUUUUGCUUCUCAGACCAUUAGUCCAUUAUCAGAAUAUUAAAUUACAAAACUAGAUCUCUGGAUCUAAUGUACUCCUGCUCUUAAUCUAGAGAACAUGUUUAAGUCAAGCAGAUGUGUUUAUGCUCAUUAACCUUGCAUAUUAACAAAGUGAGAACAGGUUGUGGUGAGGCGGAGGACAUGAUUUUUACUUUUUGUUUCCAUUUCACAAAUGUAAGGGGUCAACAACAUAAGGACAGCUGAAGUGAAUCAGAUCAAAUCUGUAAAAAGCCAAGCUCCUUUCUCUGACAGUGACCAAUAAUGGGUACUUUGGGAAAGAUUACAACAUAGGGCAAGACUGACUCUUCCUCUAAUAUACCCUAGUGAGAUCUGGUAACUUGCUGUUCAGGGACAGCAAGAGUUGGAGGCUGGUUUCACAUCUGUGCAUUUAAAAGCUGUUCCAUGAUUUUAUUCAGUUACUUUACUGAGACCACUUGCACUCCUAGCCUCAGUAACACCCUGAGACCCUCAGUCUCGCUGUUCAUUUCCACUGGACUAUGGAAAAACAACUUGCUUUUCCUUGAUUUAAGCCUGCUGCCUGGCAAUUUCAAUAGGCACUCUGGCUUCUGGUACUGUGAGAGAACACUCCUUCCCUAACACCUCUCUGGGGCAUAUGUUGAAUACCAGGUCAUCAGCAGUAGAACCACUAUCUGUCCUACCACCCUCUGGCGGGAUUUAGAGGUACAAAAGGAGAUACAGAGACAAACCAAAGAACAUAAGUUUCAUCUGUUGCAGUCACUAUAGCCACAAAUCACAGGGAAAUCUUUCAGAAAAAAAAUAUAUUGAAUCUAACACUUUCUGAACUUACUAAAUAAUGAACAAAGUACUCAGAGAUCUAGUAGAUUUCCCUUGCAUAAUAAGCCCAGUGUUUUAUACUUAAAAAAACAAAACAAAACAAAACUGCUCAAGCUAAUGAAUGACAGAUGUUAGACUUUACUUCCCAGUACUUCCAGGAUGGCCUGGAAAAAUGUUAGCUCAGACAUUUUUCAAGAUCCAAAAUGUCAAUCAAACACGUUAAACUGUUUGAAUGCAACCUGUAACUUGUUAUCUGAGUUAGAGAUAACUUAUCAAAAAAUUAUAUGAGAAAGCAAAAUUAUAUGUUUUAAGCAAAAGUUGAAACAUAUUAAAAUAUAUCAAAGCAUAUAAUAUUGUUGAACUGUUUAAAAGCCAUUUGUCUUUUACGAAAGUGCAAUUGAAAUAACAAAGCUAAAGAAAGUAUGUACAACACUGAUUGCACGAAAUUGGUCGAUUUAAAAAUUACAGGAGCUUAAGAACCUUGCCUAUUUUCUAGAACCUUUUCUAUUUUCUAUUACCUAGAGAAAUGCCAUAGCAGCAGUAAAAAUAACUCACUUUUCUGUUAUAUUGGAUGAUUUAACUACUGCUCCACAAGCUCACAGGACCUGAUGUAAACUUCUAGGAUAGGUUAACAUUGCUGCAAACUUCUUAUUGUAAAUCUAAUAUCACUUUCUUUAAAUCUAGUACCUAAAUAUAAAAUAAGAACUGGAUCACAACGAUAGUGGGUCACAGUGAUACCAGGGUGAAGCAAGUGAAUGAAUAUUCAACAAGUGCGAUAUGCCUAUAUCCUCUACUUACUCCAUUAUAUAGAUGUAGCCUCUUAGCUGUUUAAGAAACAGACUGUAAAAAUACUAAUGAUGGAUUAAAGAUGACUUUUUAAAUGCAUUUUGAUACCGUGCUACUCAAUUUUAUAACCUAAGUGACAGCCUAUCUUAAGAAGCAGGAAAGGCAGGUAUGGCUCUAUGUCCCAUGGACCCUGGUUUUAGAAAUAAAAGCCAUUCUCUUACAACUUCAUUUUAUAAACAGGUGAAAACAUGAGAACUUUUCCAAGGCUUCUUAUUACAAAAUUUACGGGGAGAACUUCUGUUUCUCAAGAAAGCAGGCACAAUGCUUCUGGGACUGGUUGGUAUCUCACAUCAAAGGAAAAUGAGGACAUCUGGAAGAGAAAAAAGGUUUAACAUUUUUGGGAGAGGAAACUUUGCGGGAGUUUUCCACAAGUAAGAGCAGAAACCGCUCUUCUGUGUAAAAGAAGACGGGAUGACAACACUAAGUGCUGUGUUUCCACAGAAAAAAGGGCCUUUGGGGAAAACCAGUGAUGAGCAUGUGAUAGCCUAGCUAGGGACUUUCAAGAAUGGGGGAGGGAAGGCAUCAGGACAGGGCUCUGGGUUUUAUUGCAUUUAAAAAGGAAUGAAACUGAAGAAGUACCCAAAAGGGGAAGAUAAUACAGUACUGAAAUCCACUAUUGUCUGGGACACUUUGUUUCACUUAAAAGUUGAAAAGACAAUGAAAUCUCACAGAACUCAUGACAAAACAUGCUCUGGCAAGAAGGCUGAGUUAUAUAAAUAGACAAGAAAGGAAGUCUGAUGCUGAGAUGGUACAGCUGCCCUACAAAGUCCUAUACCUUGUCAGAAUUUUUGAGAUCUCUUGAUUAGAGGUCAUACAGAGUAAGCUGUUGGAAAACACUAGUACCAGUAAGAGGUCAGUUCUGUGGCCUUCAGUAUGCUGGCCUGCUCCUCAAAUCCAUUUUGGUCUGUGCAAGCCACAUCAUACCCAGCAGGGCUGACCUGGAGUUCAGCUCACUUGGGAAAACUAACUUUUAAAAAACAUUAGUGGUUUCCAAACUGUCACAAACUGCCCCAAAAAGCUUCAGCUCUGUCUUUGCUGUCCACUCUCCCUGAAAGUACACUACCUACAUUCAUCCAUAGGGCAGGCUCCUUCACUUCUCUAAUGUAACCCAGUCCCUAGUAUCCCUGCCUAUAGACCUGCCUCUGCACUCCCCAGCUUUGUCACUAGCAAUAGUUUUUCUGCUUCGUUAAUAUUGCCCAGUCCACAGAUCUAGACCAUUGUAAAAUGAAAGAUUAAAAAACCGUUGGCAACAAAGGAAGUGAAAUGUGUUAUUCAGCUGGUGGUGAUUCCUCUUUGGUAAGUCUAAAAUCAGAGUUUUGUUAAGACACUUAUUAAUGGGCUUUUUCACAGCACACUCAAAACCAGACAAUAACAAAACAUUGUUCUUUGUUUCUCAGAGUUCUGAGAGAAGAAAAUGCUGCCCAAGCCAGUGGGUUAAUUUAGAAAUUCACUAAUCUGCUGAUGAAGACCUACAGUGUUUCAUUUGAGAAAUGCACGCAUUUCACAGGUAAGUAAAGUGUUCCCGACAAAUACUUUGCAUACAGUGACAGCGGUCACCAUAAAACGAACCAGUAGGCUAGGAUUCUCUACCCUGGUGAACAGAUACCUUAGGAAGGCCUGAUGGCAUGGAGAGGAAUUUCACUGUCUCUUUAGGUAUUCAAUAGAGAGGAGCCAUCAAUGAACCUAAGAGAAGUUGGGUUAUAAAGACACCCUACAGUCCUACAGAACUCCUUGCCAGAUGAUUUUUUAUCUUCAGAAAAUCCUCAAGGGAGGUUGAACGAGGAUUUAGAAGAGAGAUCUAUUGAUAUAAUUGGCAAGCACAGACUGUGAAAGACUCUGAUGUAAAAAUCUUGAAAACCGCAGCAAACUGUACAAAAGGAAUGUGAAGAAUUAUGAAAAGUUACUGGUCUAAAUACGAUUUUGUCCAGUUGAUAAUAGAUGAACUAGAACCUAAUUUCAUGGCUUUCAGCCUGACACCAUGAUUUAUACCACAAAAGGUUUUAGACACACAAGAUAAGAAGACAGCACUUCAGAUCUUUUAACCCAAGCUUCUGAGGUUACCACAGUCACAGAAAGAGAUUUUAGCAUGUGGGACACACUCUUUCCUCUUGCCUUUCCCUUUUAUAAUUUCUCCCUAGAAAUAGGCAGCAGGCACUCUCCUGGCAGCCUUUCAACACACUCAUUCUCCCUCAUUCUCAAGACUUGGAGGUGCUCCUCCUAAUCAUCUAUCCUCCUGUGAUGUUUGGGGUGGCAAACGCUCCUAGAGCUCUGGGACGUUCGCAUCUCUGCUCCUUAAAGAGACAAAACAGAUGGGAACUCCUGCGGCACUCUGCUUCUGUUAUAGCUCUGUUACAUUACUGUCUCACUACAAAUACUUUAGCAGAUGCAAAGAUAAAUCAUUCAACAGCAUGAGGUUUUGCCCACACUCUGGGGACUAAACAAUAGUGGGUGAAUUAUGAACCUGACUGUAUCAUUUUGCUGGCUGUUUCUCUGUGUUCUUCAGCAGAUGACCUUAUCUCAUUUUUCCAAAUUAACAGAAGUUCAGAAGUUUCUCAAGACACUCACUUUUACCAUAAAAAAUUAAAGUACCUCCAUUAUGACUCCGCAUGAUUCAUGCAUGCUUUUUGCAAAAGGUUAAGGGCAAAUUCGUUCUCAGGAGAAGCAGAAGUAUAUUAUUUCACAUGAUUAGUGCUCUCUGACACCCUUAGAAUCAAUGGCCUUACUGAACUCAAGGGAGAAAGGAAAGGAAAGAAAGGGAGAAAGGGAAAGGGGAAAGUUAGUAUGGACCUACCACACAGACAAAUUACUGAGAUCACAGAUACAGAAGGAAAGGUUAUUAUCUUUCUCUUAUAAGCUUUGCAUCACCUGCUGUUUCAGCUCAAUCCCCAAAGCUUUUACUUCUCUGACACAUACAGAAAAAAUAACUUUAUUCAGCUUAUACCAUCAUGCAAGACCUUUAAGCUGACCUCUGUUAAACAAGAGUACUUUUUCAAUUUUGAAGUUCACAUCAGCACUUAUAAGUCACAAUCAAAGCUCGGGAUAAUACAGUAAGCUGGAUGAGAGUGGCUCCUUUAGCUUUAGAAGCAAUAGAAAUGACAAACUGAAAGGGAUUUUUUCUGUUCUCAAAAAAAAAAAGUUUCUUCCAGUUUUCUGAUAAGCAACUGCAUUAAUUCAGUGCUCAAAAUAAAAGUAUCAAACAGCCUCAGUCUGAAUCAGACCUGAUCAUGCUUCGCUAUCUUAGACCAUUUAGUGUCUCAUGGUCUUUUGUUAAUACGCUAUUUGUGCAUAAAUUCUUCUAGAAUAGAAAAACAACACAGACAGCACCUAAAUACAUGCAGCAGAAAAACUUCAGAGCUCUUUUUAAAGCACAGGUGUUAAAAAAAAAAAAAAGAAAAAGAAAAAGA